rnacentral:sRNA from 1 species
GGGGAUGAUCGGCCUAGACAAUGAAUAUGCAGUCGAAACUGCGAGGCAGAAGUGGAAUUCUUCUUUAAAAAUUCCAAACCAAUAACUGCCAAGUCAGUUGCAUCGCCGUACUUUACGGCGAAUGAUUUUGCGUUCGCUACCGCUUCGGCGUAACGACGCGACACCCUCCGCGAUGCGCCCGUAGGCGCGGGGUGUGUUAUAUCUUCGGGCUCUGCCGGACGGUUGCUUCACCGACCGCGCAAGAUAAUGAAGCUUGGGCUCAUACGAUUUUGUCCGCUUCGCCCGUAUGAGCUGAGAUUUAAAACGGACUAUGCUUCGUAGAUGUUUCUUUUGCCCUUCAUUGCACGGCGGUUCGAUUCCGCCCAUCUCCACUA